rnacentral:misc_RNA from 1 species
AGGGAUCUGUGUCCAUUAGCAUGACAUUGAACCAAACAACCUUUUGCUUUGUCUGCACACAUUUGACAUCUGGGGAGAAGGAAGGUGAUGAAGUAAAAAGAAACUCAGAUGUGAGUGAAAUUUUGAAGAAAACUAGGUUUUCUCAUUCUUGUAGAGCUACAACUGGAGCACAGCCACCUUCUCCAGAGACCAUAUUGGAUCAUGACAAGGUCAUCUGGCUUGGGGAUCUGAAUUAUCGGCUUUCGACUGGCUGUGGGGAAACAUAUGAGCUUCUUAGGAAAAACGAUUGGCAGGCACUUCUAGAGAAAGAUCAGCUAAGGUUAGAGCAAAAGGCUGGUCGAGUGUUUAAAGGGUGGGAAGAAGGAAGAAUACAGUUUGCUCCAACUUACAAAUAUAUAACCAAUUCUGACCAUUAUGUUGCAUUGACCUCGAACUCCAAGCCAUCUAAAGAGAAACGCCGCACUCCAGCUUGGUGCGAUCGGAUAUUAUGGAGAGGGGUAGGAAUGAAGCAGAUGUGGUAUGUUAGAGGGGAGUGCAGAUUCUCAGAUCACG